rnacentral:tmRNA from 1 species
GGGGCCGUACAGGUUUCGACAGGGGUGUAGAGCAUUAGUAAGCGAGCCGUGUUUCUUGGUUUGGGGUACACGUAAAAGAACUGGACCACUAAAUAUAAACGCAAACAAUAAUUACGCGUUAGCUGCCUAGUUGCAGCCGUCCACUCAAGGCCUUCGUCCUGUGCCGCCUGAGUUUGGACCAACCUUUGCAUGGGAUCGAAUUUCACUCUUGUUCCGGGGUGUUAGGGUUUUAGGAACUGGUUAGUCGUGUUGCCUGUCAUUGGACCGCAUUGCUAACGAGAAUUUAAACAAUGACUUUGCUCGGAGAAAGCUUUUGUGACAUGCUUUUGGACAGGGGUUCGAUUCCCCUCGGCUCCACCA